GUCAUGGGCUACUUCAAGUGUUGAAGAGGUUGCUUCAACAGGACCAGGAAUUCGCUUCUUCCAGCUCUAUGUUUACAAGGAUAGGAAUGUAGUUGCACAGCUUGUUAGAAGAGCCGAAAGGGCUGGAUUCAAGGCAAUUGCACUUACUGUGGACACUCCAAGACUUGGCCGCAGGGAAGCGGACAUCAAGAACAGGUUUGUUUUACCUCCAUUUUUGACACUGAAGAAUUUUGAGGGUCUGGACCUUGGGAAAAUGGAUGAGACAAGUGACUCGGGAUUAGCCUCUUAUGUUGCUGGCCAAAUUGACCGCACACUAAGCUGGAAGGAUGUCAAGUGGCUUCAGACAAUUACUACCAUGCCGAUUCUGGUUAAAGGAGUGAUAACAGCAGAAGAUACAAGGUUGGCCAUCCAAGCUGGGGCAGCUGGUAUAAUUGUGUCGAACCAUGGAGCUCGUCAGUUGGAUUAUGUUCCAG
rnacentral:misc_RNA from 1 species